GGCAGCGUGUGCCCAAGCCAUGCCUCUCACUGCCUUGAGGUCUUGGACAAGCUACAGAGUCCCAGGAGCCUCAACCCCCUCCUCGCCUGUAAAGUGAGGGUCCUGCCUGCUGCUGCUCAGAGGAGGGUUGAGUGAGACACCCGCGUGGAACACACCUGGGAAACAGCAUGUGCUCUCCUGCCUUUUGGGAGGACACAAACUUCAGCGACCUGCGGGCCCCUGCCACCUGCCUGCCUGAAGCUGGCAUUCGGCUCCAUCCAUGCUCAGGGUGCUACCUUGCCGACGUCAGCAAUGGACCUGCCUGGGCACCUGUGGCUUGAAGUCUGGCCUGGAACCUGCCUGCUGGCCUCGGCGGCCAGCUGAGAGUUAGAAGGUUGGCAUUAGGACCCCGCAAUGUGGCCAGAAACCCUGUGACAAACCCCUACCAGCAGCAAAGGGGGCACUGAGGCCCCUAAGCUGUGUCGAGGAAGCUGGGAUGAAGACGCUGAUCCGUCCCUGGCUCUCACCAUCCCCACCUCAUCAGUAAAACCAGAGCCCAACUGGAUGCGCUGAUGGGAAGGAUGCGGCCAACACUAACCUGGAGACCAAGGGCCCAGGCCGGAGUGCAGAUGCUGCCCCGAGUGAAGAUGAACCACGUGCUCUCCUGCAGCCACCCAUGUGGUCUUGUGGCCCCGCGUGGUCUCCUGGAGAGGCCGAGAUGCCCAGGACCUACCCACACCCAUGGGCGCCAUCCAGAGGGGAGCACAGCUGACCCUCUGUCAACGAGAGCUGGUGCAGAAACUCUUCUCCUCCUGCCCUGCACAGCAUGAGGUGUGUUCCACCCGCUGCCUGGAGGACCCUCGUGGGUGACUGUGUGGUCGGCUGCACGUUGAGAUGGCCAGCUCCAGGACGCGCCGUCCAUGGGCUCCUGUCCGUCCUGCCUCACUCUCCCCACCGCUCACACCUCUCUGGGGUUGCCCACCCCAGCAGGAAGCCUCUGCCUCGGGCUCUGCCUUCCGGGCAUUCGGGGUUGAGAGAGCCCCCAUCAAGAAAGCGUGUGUUUCCGGGGCACUCCCAACAGCAGCUGGUCUGAGGACAGCGCAGACCCCACAGCGGGGGCCCCUGGACAGAGAUAAGUCCCCCCACAGCCCCAGAGGGCAGCUCUCCCCAUAGCCAUGUUCGCCGCAUGGGCCAACCACCCUCACGUCCACUGGGAACCUCCCUCUCAGGUUCCUUUGAGCUUCCCAGCCUGACCUGCUGACCUCGGCCCCAAGCUGGCAGUUACUGGGGCGGAGCUCAGCCCGGGGGCCCCAAGCUGGCAGUUACUGGGGCGGAGCUCAGCCCGGGGAACAUUCCACCCUUGCAGCAGGGCUACACCGUCCCCAGGCAGAACGUCUCCCACCAGCAAGCCUCGAACCAGGGGUGUAAAGCCGUGACAGUCCAUAGGGGGUUUUACCUGGGAAGUCUCCUGGUCCCAUUAAAGAAAGAAAG
rnacentral:lncRNA from 1 species